UGGAUAUGGUGCUAUGUUAUUUUCGCUAUUUCAUGCGUAUUCAGGAAGUGGGUUUUUUUUUUUUUAUGUUAACAAAGGAAACUGGAUGUUCUCCUAAAAUAGCCACCUCGCCAAGCUGAACCAACAGAGAUGUAUUGAUCACCGGGUCAAUAGAACUAGAUGGGUGCUGGGGGGAAAGUCAGCAGGUAAGACAGGUGAGGACUGCCUCCCUUCCACUCCCCACCCAGAGGCUGAAGACAGACAGACAGACAGAGGCGUUCAGAAAGAAGUAGGAGGGCUUCAGGGAUUCAGCGGAGGAGACUGAAAGCCUGAGAGACGAUGCCUUUGAGGAGGUUACAGGAACCUGAUAAGACUGACUAGCCAUCUCUAGCAUUCAGCAAAGAUAGGUGGAACUUCAUUGUGCUGAAGUUAUGUUUGAGCACCCUCUGCUGGACAAAUCAGGAGAAGGCAGCAGCUGGCAUCAAUGGUGUGGUGAGGAGAGAAUCAAGUUUCCUUCUCCAGUUCAAACAGACGAAAGUGAAGCGACAUAGGCUCAAGGACAGGGUCACUGGGCUAGCGCCACACCAUGGAGCCAAACCCCGAGCCUUCUAAAUUGUGAGCUGGGCAUGGUGGUUCACCCCAGGAAUCGCAGCACUGAGGGAUGAAGGCGAGAGAGUCACUGUGGGUAUGACAUCAGUCUGACCUGAAGUCUGAGACUGUUUUUUUAAGAAGAAAACAUUUUUUUAUGUCAUAUAUUUAAUUAUAUAAAGAUUCUGUUGUUUUGUUGUUGUUGUUGUUGUUAAAAUUCAGCCAGGAAAUUUCCAUCUGUCUGGUGUUAAUUGGUUGUUUUUCAGCACUAAUUGGGAAAUGGUAUAUUUUUAUUGUUUUAUAAAUAGAGUAAAACCCCACAGAAACUGCUGGGGAAAUUUAAACAAGGAAAGCAAUUCUAUGUCCUUGCUUGACACCAGUUUGUCCCAGAGGUGACAUAACUGUGUAGUUUUUGAAAACACUGGGCAUUUAUAUAUAUAUGAGACAAAACCCCACUGUAUAGCCCUG
rnacentral:lncRNA from 1 species